CAGGAUUAGAUACCCUGUAGUCCACGCCGUAAACGAUGAUUACUCGUUGUUGGCAAUACAUAGUCAGCGACUGAGCGAAAGCAUUAAGUAAUCCACCUGGGGAGUACGUUGGCAACAAUGAAACUCAAAGGAAUUGACGGGGGCCCGCACAAGCGGAGGAACAUGUGGUUUAAUUCGAUGAUACGCGAGGAACCUUACCUGGACUUAAAUGUAGAUUGACAGGACUAGAGAUAGUUUUUUCUUCGGACAAUUUACAAGGUGCUGCAUGGUUGUCGUCAGCUCGUGCCGUGAGGUGUCGGGUUAAGUCCCAUAACGAGCGCAACCCCUAUCUUUAGUUACCAGCACGUAAUGGUGGGGACUCUAAAGAGACUGCCUGGGUAACCAGAGAGGAAGGUGGGGAUGACGUCAAAUCAGCACGGCCCUUACGUCCAGGGCUACACACGUGUUACAAUGGUCGGUACAAAGGGCAGCUACCUAGCGAUAGGAUGCUAAUCUCUAAAACCGGUCUCAGUUCGGAUCGGAGUCUGCAACUCGACUCCGUGAAGCUGGAUUCGCUAGUAAUCGCAUAUCAGCCAUGAUGCGGUGAAUACGUUCCCGGGCCUUGUACACACCGCCCGUCAAACCAUGGAAGUUGGGGGUACCUGAAGUCUGUUACCGCA
rnacentral:rRNA from 1 species